AUACGGAGGGAGCAAGCGUUAUUCGGAAUCACUGGGCGUAAAGGACGCGUAGGCGGGUUUGUAAGUCAGGUGUGGAAUCCUACAGCUCAACUGUAGAACUGCACUUGAAACUACAGACCUAGAGUAUGGAAGGGGCAGAUGGAAUUAGUGGUGUAGGGGUAAAAUCCGUAGAUAUCACUAGGAAUACCGAAAGCGAAGGCGAUCUGCUGGGACAUUACUGACGCUGAGGCGUGAAAGCGUGGGGAGCAAACAGGAUUAGAAACCCCAGUAGUCC
rnacentral:rRNA from 1 species